rnacentral:rRNA from 1 species
UACAGAGGGUGCGAGCGUUAAUCGGAAUUACUGGGCGUAAAGCGCACGUAGGUGGCGACGUAAGUCGGGUGUGAAAGCCCCGGGCUCAACCUGGGAAUUGCAUUCGAGACUGUGUCGCUGGAGUACGGAAGAGGAAGGCGGAAUUCCCGGUGUGGCGGUGAAAUGCGUAGAUAUCGGGAGGAACAUCAGUGGCGAAGGCGGCCUUCUGGUCCAGUACUGACACUCAAGUGCGAAAGCGUGGGGAGCAAACAGG